rnacentral:tRNA from 1 species
GGGUCGAUAGCUCAGUUUGGUAGAGCAAGCGGCUGCAGUCCGCUAGGUCCUGCGUUCGAGUCGCGGUCGGCCCU